rnacentral:rRNA from 1 species
UACGUAGGGCGCAAGCGUUGUCCGGAAUUAUUGGGCGUAAAGAGCUCGUAGGUGGUUUGUCGCGUUGUUCGUGAAAACCGGGGGCUUAACCCUCGGCGUGCGGGCGAUACGGGCAGACUUGAGUACUGCAGGGGAGACUGGAAUUCCUGGUGUAGCGGUGGAAUGCGCAGAUAUCAGGAGGAACACCGGUGGCGAGGGCGGGUCUCUGGGCAGUAACUGACGCUGAGGAGCGAAAGCGUGGGGAGCGAACAGG